UGGGGAAUAUUGCACAAUGGGCGAAAGCCUGAUGCAGCAACGCCGCGUGAGUGAUGAAGGUCUUCGGAUUGUAAAGCUCUGUCUUUUGGGACGAUAAUGACGGUACCAAAGGAGGAAGCCACGGCUAACUACGUGCCAGCAGCCGCGGUAAUACGUAGGUGGCGAGCGUUGUCCGGAUUUACUGGGCGUAAAGGGUGCGUAGGCGGAUGUUUAAGUGAGAUGUGAAAUACCCGGGCUUAACUUGGGUGCUGCAUUUCAAAGCUGGAUAUCUAGAGUGCAGGAGAGGAGAAUGGAAUUCCUAGUGUAGCGGUGAAAUGCGUAGAGAUUAGGAAGAACACCAGUGGCGAAGGCGA
rnacentral:rRNA from 1 species